rnacentral:tRNA from 1 species
GCCUUCGUGGUGUAAUGGUCAGCACACUCGGCGGGCAUUCGAGGAGUCCGUGGUUCGAAUCCCGGCGAGGGCU